rnacentral:rRNA from 1 species
GAUGCCCAGCUUGCUGGGCGGAUUAGUGGCGAACGGGUGAGUAACACGUGAGUAACCUGCCCUUGACUUCGGGAUAACUCCGGGAAACCGGGGCUAAUACCGGAUAUGAGCCGUCCUCGCAUGGGGGUGGUUGGAAAGUUUUUCGGUCAGGGAUGGGCUCGCGGCCUAUCAGCUUGUUGGUGGGGUGAUGGCCUACCAAGGCGACGACGGGUAGCCGGCCUGAGAGGGCGACCGGCCACACUGGGACUGAGACACGGCCCAGACUCCUACGGGAGGCAGCAGUGGGGAAUAUUGCACAAUGGGCGAAAGCCUGAUGCAGCGACGCCGCGUGAGGGAUGAAGGCCUUCGGGUUGUAAACCUCUUUCAGCAGGGAAGAAGCGCAAGUGACGGUACCUGCAGAAGAAGCGCCGGCUAACUACGUGCCAGCAGCCGCGGUAAUACGUAGGGCGCAAGCGUUGUCCGGAAUUAUUGGGCGUAAAGAGCUCGUAGGCGGUUUGUCGCGUCUGGUGUGAAAACUCGAGGCUCAACCUCGAGCUUGCAUCGGGUACGGGCAGACUAGAGUGCGGUAGGGGAGACUGGAAUUCCUGGUGUACCGGUGGAAUGCGCAGAUAUCACGAGGAACACCGAUAGCGCAGGCAGGUCUCUGGGCCGCCACCUGACGCUGAUGAGCGAAAGCAUGCGGAAGCGAACAGGAUUAAUACGCUGAUAGUCCAUGGC